UACAGAGGAGCCAAGCGUUGUCCGGAUUGACUGGGCGUAAAGCGCACGCAGGCGGAUGCGCGCGUGGGGUGUGAAAUCUGGCCGCUUAACGGCCAGGCGCCAUCCCAUACGGCGCGUCUGGAGUGAUGCAGAGGUCGGUGGAAUUGCCGGUGCAGUGGUGAAAUGCGUAGAGAUCGGCAGGAACACCCAGGGGGAAACCAGCCGACUGGGCAUCUACUGACGCUGAGGUGCGAGAGCGUGGGGAGCGAACAGG
rnacentral:rRNA from 1 species